ACGGGUGAGUAAUGGCUGGGAACCUGCCUGGUAGAGGGGGAUAACCACUGGAAACGGUGGCUAAUACCGCAUGAUGUCUUUGGACCAAAGAGGGGGACCUUCGGGCCUCUCGCUACCGGAUGGGCCCAGUUGGGAUUAGCUAGUUGGUGGGGUAAAGGCUCACCAAGGCGACGAUCCCUAGCUGGUUUGAGAGGAUGAUCAGCCACACUGGAACUGAGACACGGUCCAGACUCCUACGGGAGGCAGCAGUGGGGAAUAUUGCACAAUGGGCGCAAGCCUGAUGCAGCCAUGCCGCGUGUGUGAAGAAGGCCUUCGGGUUGUAAAGCACUUUCAGCCGUGAGGAAGGCAUUGUACUUAAUACGUGCAGUGUUUGACGUUAGCGGCAGAAGAAGCACCGGCUAACUCCGUGCCAGCAGCCGCGGUAAUACGGAGGGUGCGAGCGUUAAUCGGAAUUACUGGGCGUAAAGCGCAUGCAGGCGGUCUGUUAAGCAAGAUGUGAA
rnacentral:rRNA from 1 species